rnacentral:rRNA from 1 species
GAUGAACGCUGGCGGCAUGCCUAAUACAUGCCAGUCGAGCGAACAGACGAGGAGCUUGCUCCUCUGACGUUAGCGGCGGACGGGUGAGUAACACGUGGAUAACCUACCUAUAAGACUGGGAUAACUUCGGGAAACCGGAGCUAAUACCGGAUAAUAUAUUGAACCGCAUGGUUCAAUAGUGAAAGACGGUUUUGCUGUCACUUAUAGAUGGAUCCGCGCCGCAUUAGCUAGUUGGUAAGGUAACGGCUUACCAAGGCAACGAUGCGUAGCCGACCUGAGAGGGUGAUCGGCCACACUGGAACUGAGACACGGUCCAGACUCCUACGGGAGGCAGCAGUAGGGAAUCUUCCGCAAUGGGCGAAAGCCUGACGGAGCAACGCCGCGUGAGUGAUGAAGGUCUUCGGAUCGUAAAACUCUGUUAUUAGGGAAGAACAAAUGUGUAAGUAACUAUGCACGUCUUGACGGUACCUAAUCAGAAAGCCACGGCUAACUACGUG